AUUGAACGCUGGCGGCAGGCCUAACACAUGCAAGUCGAACGAGUGGCGGACGGGUGAGUAAUGUCUGGGAAACUGCCCGAUGGAGGGGGAUAACUACUGGAAACGGUAGCUAAUACCGCAUACCAUCGGAUGUGCCCAGAGGGGAUUCGCUAGUAGGUGGGGGAACGGCUCACCUAGGCGACGAUCCCUAGCUGGUCUGAGAGGAAGACCAGCCACACGGGUACGGAGAAACGGUCCAGACUCCUACGUGAGGCAGCAGUGGGUAAUAUUGCACAAUGGGCGCAGUCCUGAUGCAUCCAUGCCGCGUGUAUGAAGAAGGCCUUCGGGUUGUAAAGUACUUUCAGCGAGGAGGCGUUACUCUCAGAAGAAGCACCGGCUAACUCCGUGCCAGCAGCCGCGGUAAUUC
rnacentral:rRNA from 1 species